UCCGUAGGCGGGCAAUUAAGUCAGAGGUGAAAUCCCACAGCUCAACUGUGGAACUGCCUUUGAUACUGGUUGUCUUGAGUUACAGUGAAGUAGAUAGAAUAUGUAGUGUAGCGGUGAAAUGCAUAGAUAUUACAUAGAAUACCGAUUGCGAAGGCAGUCUACUAACUGUAUACUGACGCUAAUGGACGAAAGCGUGGGGAGUGAACAGGAUUAGAUACCCUGGUAGUCC
rnacentral:rRNA from 1 species